rnacentral:lncRNA from 1 species
GUCCAUUUACUUGAGCGGGAUGAAGCGCGACGAGUGAGUCGCGCCGAUACCCGGGCGGCCGUGCUUCACGGGCUUGUAGGAGAUGGAGAACUCAGCCAGGUAGUGGCCGACCAUCUCGGGCUUAAUCUCCACCUGGUUGAAGGUCUUGCCGUUGUAGACGCCCACGACGGAGCCAAUCAUCUCCGGCACCACAAUCAUGUUGCGCAGGUGCGUGCGCACAGGCUCCGGCUUCUCGCCGCUGGCCGCCAGCUUCUUCACCUUGCGGAG